rnacentral:lncRNA from 1 species
CGUGGCAGGUCCUGGAAAAUGAGAAAUCUGUGGAGAAGCUAAAGGAGGUUAUUUCAAUGAAUGCCUCAGAAUUUUCCAAGGUUCAGGUCGCCCUGAAUGAAGGCAAGUUGAGUGAGGAGAAGGUGAAGUCUGAGUGCCACCAGGUUCAGGAAGAAAACACAAGGCUGAAGAAGAAGAAGAAAGUGCAGAUUUUGUAAAUGUCUGGUCAGGGUGGGUGCAAAACCCAGCGACUUUAGCU